rnacentral:rRNA from 1 species
CCUACGGGAGGCAGCAGUGAGGAAUAUUGGUCAAUGGGCGGGAGCCUGAACCAGCCAAGUCGCGUGAGGGAAGACGGUCCUAUGGAUUGUAAACCUCUUUAGGCGGGGAGCAAUGCCGGGCACGUGUGCUCGGAGGGAGAGUACCCGCAGAAUAAGCAUCGGCUAACUCCGUGCCAGCAGCCGCGGUAAUACGGAGGAUGCGAGCGUUAUCCGGAUUUGUUGGGUUUAAAGGGUGCGGAGGCGGAUUUUUAAGGCAGCGGUUAAAGUGUGCGGCUCAACCGUGGCAGGGCAGUUGAACCUGGGAGUCUUGAGUACAGUAGAGGUGGGCGGAAUGCGUGGUGUAGCGGUGAAAUGCUUAGAUAUCACGAAGAACUCCGAUUGCGAAGGCAGCUCACUGGACUGCAACUGACGCUGAGGCACGAAAGUGUGGGUAUCGAACAGGAUUAGAUACCCUUGUAGUC